rnacentral:rRNA from 1 species
UACAGAGGGGGCAAGCGUUGUUCGGAAUUACUGGGCGUAAAGGGUGCGUAGGUGGCGAGGUAAGUCGGAUGUGAAAGCUCGGAGCUCAACUCCGAAAUGGCAUUGGAAACUACCUUGCUCGAGGGUUGGAGGGGGGACUGGAAUACUUGGUGUAGCAGUGAAAUGCGUAGAUAUCAAGUGGAACACCAGUGGCGAAGGCGAGUCCCUGGACAACUCCUGACACUGAGGCACGAAAGCUAGGGGAGCAAACAGG